UUUUUUUAAAUUCAACAUAAACCUAAAAUUGUCAGAAACUGGGCCAGUGUCAAUAACUGGGUCUUUUACCUUACACACAUUAGAUUCACACAUUCACAAAUACUGGGAUGUUCUAGUUUUAAGGAAAUGCGAAGAUUAGCUCAGGAUGGGCAAGAGAGUAAAGGUGCGUGCCCAAACAGUUCUAUAAGUGACGACCUUAUGAUGAUGAUAAUGUACGAUUUUGCCGAUGCGAGAGCUACACACAACCUUACAUAAAUUUCCACUAAGGUUAUAUGUUAGAUUAUAUAUCCAGAGGGUUUUAAUAAUAAUUGAGGAAGAUAAUUUCAAAAUUUCCUGUUUUGUUGGAUUCACAUUAUGAACGCUUUAUGAUAAUUAUAUUACAAUUAAAAUACUUUAUUGUUUCGAAUUUAAUUGGAUAGUACAGCAAAUAAUAUUUUCUUUUAAUUGGCUAUUAACUUAUGUUCGAAAUCCUAUAUUUUUACUCCUCAUAUGGAUAGAUACUACAUCACUGGAGAUCUAUAUAUUUUUAUUUUGUUUCGAAUUAUAUCCAUUUUGACACUAGGCUUAAGAUCGACUGCAUCUAAUUUCUAUGUUUAUGGGAAAUACAUUUAAUUGGGCUCAAAAAUUUCAACAUUUAUUCUGAUUAUCCUGUUACACAGAUUGAUGUUUUAGAUUUAUUAAAAUGAUACUAAUGAUUGAAACUAAUGUAAAAUGACCAAAGCUGUCGUUAAAGGAAUCUGGUAUUGAUUUUUGAGACCUAUUCAACAGCAUUCCAGCUGAAGAUGGAUAACUACAAAGAAGCUACAAUAGAACUAAUGGACACACAAUUAUGAUACUUAAUGUUUGGAACCCGUAAACGACGCACAAUUUAUUUGUAAAGUUUGAAUCAAUGGAUUAUUUAUAUAGGGUGCCAGAUUAACACGACUGAAUGUUCAUGGUUAAAAAUUUAUUGAUUUCUGGUAUGGUUUCCAGUGACUAUUUUUAAAAAGUUGUAUUAACUAUUUUAAGCAAGAGUAUCUUGAAUCUCCUAACAAAAAAUAAUUCUUUAAAGUCCGUUUUUUUUUUUCGUACAAAGGGGAACGCUUUAAUAAAUUUCAUUAUGGGAACCAUUUAUCACUUCCAAAUAUCUUUUUUCUCGUGGUCUACAGAAAAGUGAGAAAAGAUGUUUCGUUCCGAGAGCACGUCUGUACUCAUCAGUAAGGCUGAUGACGUGCUCUCUGCUUUAGAUACCUGGAGACCUGUGGGGUGUGUGACGCGAACUGGCGCGAGACAGGAGGGUCGCCACAGUUCUUUUGAUUUUUGCAAAUCUUCAUGAACAAUUCUCUUUCUGUCAUAUUCUGCAUAUUUUAUAUAUUUUCUACUAAUUCUGUACUAAAUAAUACACAGCUUUUUUAAUUU